AAAAAAGGGGAAGGUAGCGCCGCGCCAAGUCACCCGCCACCACACACCAAGAUUUCCCAAGGCCCACCGGGCCAAGUGUCGCCAUUCCAACGGUCCUGUCCUCUGUCGUCCUCCCUCACGUGGGCCGAGCGCCGCCCGAGCCGGACCAAAAUCUCGCCGUCCCUUCCGCCGGCCGGACGCCACCGUCUUCUUCUUCUUCCUCUUCGCCCCCGCACACCACCUCCCGCCUCGCCACCGUCCUGUCCCGCGCGCCUCCAGAACCCACCGCAGAACCCAAACCCCGCUCGCGGUGCAUGGGCGCGAAGAACAAGAACCCGCAGCCGACCACCGGCGCCGGCCGCGACGGCGGCGCGUUCGCCUUCAUCUCCAAGGGCUGGCGCGAGGCGCGGGACACCGCCACCGCCGACCUGUCCCUGAUGCGGGCGCGCGCCGACCACCUGAUCGCGGAGGAGCUGGACCUGGUGCGGAGGCGGAUCCAGCCCAAGAUCACGGAGCUCACGAAGCACUGCUCGCUCGAGCGGUGGCCGCCCAGGCCCGGCGCCAGCCUCCGCGUCGACCUCGCGGCGAUCCGGAACGCCGUCGUGGCCGACGGGCGCGGCGGGGGCGAGUGGCCGUGGAAGGGCGGCAACGGCAAGGGGAGGGCGGAGUGGGGCGUGGUCACGUUUGUGCGGAGCGGGCUCAAGGAGUGUGAGCUGGCUGCGACGAUUCGGAGCGGGCUCAAGGAGCUCGAGCGCCGGAGCCUGUCGAGUGAGAUGCUUGGUGGGUUUCGGGGACGCGGCGAGUUUCUGGAGAAGCUGAAGCUGAGCUUGAAAUUGCUCAACAAAGAGUCCCGCGAACCAAAGGAAGUCCCCCCGCUGGAUCUAAUGGAAAUUCUGACAUAUCUAGUCCGGCAGUCUGGACCGUUUUUGGAUCAACUUGGUAUACGAAGAGAUCAAUGUGAAAAGCUAGUGGAGACGUUGUACAGUAAACGGGAUGGCCGGCUCAUGUAUCCGUCUCUUUCAGCAGAUAGUUCCUUAACUGGGAACAAGAACACAACUGAUGAUCUUGAUCUAAGAAUAGCUAGGGUGCUAGAAAGCACUGGCUAUCACACAGACGAAGGUUUUCUGAAAGAUCCUACAAAGUUGAGAAUCUCAGACAACAGACGACAUGUUGCAGUUUUCACCACAGCAAGCCUUCCAUGGAUGACGGGGACAGCCAUCAAUCCAUUGUUCCGUGCUGCUUAUCUGGCAAGAAGUACUAUGCAAAAAGUGACACUGGUCGUUCCUUGGCUUUGUAAGUCAGACCAGCAACUAGUUUACCCGAAUAACAUUACCUUUAGUUCUCCAGAAGAGCAAGAAACCUAUAUAAGGGACUGGCUACAGGAAAGACUUGGCUUUGAAGCAAAUUUUAAGAUAUCAUUUUAUCCUGGCAAGUUCUCAGAAGAACGGCGCAGCAUUAUUCCUAUAGGGGAUACCUCACAGUUUAUUUCAUCCAAAGAAGCUGAUAUAGCAAUUUUGGAAGAACCAGAGCAUCUUAACUGGUAUCAUCAUGGGAAGCGCUGGACAGAUAAGUUCAAUCAUGUCAUUGGCGUAGUUCAUACAAAUUACCUAGAGUAUAUCAAGAGAGAGAAGAAUGGUGCCCUUCAAGCUUUCCUUGUUAAACAUAUCAACAAUUGGGUGACAAGGGCAUACUGCCACAAGGUUUUACGUCUGUCAGGAGCAACUCAGGAUCUUCCCAGGUCCAUUAUUUGCAACGUUCAUGGUGUGAACCCGAAGUUCCUCAAUGUUGGUGAAAAAGUAGCAGCUGAUAUGGAGCGUGGACAGAAGGCCUUUUCGAAGGGAGCAUAUUUUCUUGGGAAGAUGGUUUGGGCUAAAGGUUAUAAAGAACUUAUUGAUUUAUUAUCGGAACACAAAAAUUGUCUAGAGGGCUUCAAGCUAGAUGUGUAUGGAAAUGGUGAGGAUUCACAGGCUGUCCAGGCUGCUGCUAGGAAGUUGGAUUUGGGCAUCAAUUUUUUCAAGGGAAAGGACCAUGCCCAUGAAUCACUUCAUGGGUACAAGGUUUUCAUCAAUCCAAGUGUUAGUGAUGUCCUAUGCACAGCAACUGCUGAGGCUCUUGCAAUGGGGAAAUUUGUUGUCUGUCCCGAUCAUCCAUCAAAUGAGUUUUUCAAGUCAUUUCCCAACUGCUUGACAUAUAAAGCUCCAGAGGAAUUUGUUGCCAAAGUGAAAGAGGCCAUGGCUAGCGAACCUCAACCUCUGACCCCUGAGCAAAGAUACAGUUUAUCAUGGGAGGCAGCAACCAAGAGAUUUAUGGAGUACUCGGAGCUUGACAAAGUUCUGGAAGAGAGAAAUGGUCACUGUGGACAAGGUGUAAAGAGAAAAGGUGUGAGGAAGAUACCUUUACUUCCUAAAUUCUCAGACAUCAUGGAUGGAGGACUGGCAUUCGCUCAUUACUGCCUAACUGGGAAUGAGAUCCUCCGAUUGGCGACAGGAGCAAUUCCUGGUACCCGUGACUAUGAUAAACAGCAGUGCAUGGAUUUGAACCUCUUGCCUCCCCAAAAUCAACACCCUGUAUAUGGCUUGUGAUGUGAAUCUGGUUGCACUUAACUAUAAUGUAUAGUUGAAGGAAUUUGCUCCUUAGGGUUCUUGAAAUGGGCAUGCCAGGCUAGAUUAUCAACUGUUUCUGCAAUUUUCACUAUUAUCGUAACCAAGUCUGAGAGAAGUGUUGCAGUGACAGCCACAUGCAUCGCUUGCAACAGGGCCUCAUCUUCUGACAAUUCAUUUCUGAGGCCUUUUGCAACUUUGAUGGCUGCAGACAUGGUGAUGCUUGCUGGAGGUGGUACGGUCAUUGUUUGAAUCGCUGUUGAUAGCUCCCUGAGCGCCUUAGCAGAGUGUGAGCUCAUUUCCCCGCAUGCCGUUCGGAUCUUUAAGGUUAGCUCUGGAUUGGCUUCAGGGUACUGUUGAUCAGGCAAAUGCUGUUGGUUAGUAACUUGGCUCAGUAGUCAUUUGAGAUCAUGAAAUGGGGAGGAUCUGCAAUUACCUGAGAUUUUUGCAGUGUGAUGACAUAGGAUGCAAGAGCUUCCAUUGAAUUCGCGCACUGGCGGCAGAGAGCUCCGAGCUUCUGGUAUUGGCUCCAUGGGUGUCGGAAGCCGAAUUUACCAUGACCAGGCUCCCACUUGGCAAAGUUGCUCUGCGAUGUUCGAAAUAACAUUACAAAAACUACCGGGUAUACAAGCUGUUUUCUCGCAGAUGCUUGUCAUCAGUAAAGGAAGCUUACCAGUGAGUCCUCAGUGGCCUUAGAAUUGAGGACGCUCUUGUACACUUGGAGAAAGGGUUUUCCCUCUAAAUUCUCACUGGUAGCCUUUUCUCCAAAGCAUUCAGAUUCCAUUCCUGCAUACAAGUGUACAGUUUCAGUCUCACACUUUGGUGCCCGUCAGAAGUAACCAACUCCAAGUGCAUGAUAUAGUUUUCUAGAGUACUUUUCUUUUCAAUUUUAUUUUGGCAGAGUAGAACGGUGCCAUUGUAAGGUAGUCUGUUGGUUCCCUAUUUUAUCAGCAAUUUUUUGUCAGCAAAAUUGUCCCAGAUCCAAGUGGUAGUUCUCUGUAUUCUUAUGAAGUUGCUCCCGGGGGGUUUGACAAGCAGAAAUAUAA